rnacentral:rRNA from 1 species
GGAAUUUUCGGCAAUGGGGGGAACCCUGACCGAGCAACGCCGCGUGAACGAAGAAGUAUUUCGGUAUGUAAAGUUCUUUUAUUGGAGAAGAAAGAGAAAUUUGACGGUAACCAAUGAAUAAGCUCCGGCUAACUACGUGCCAGCAGCCGCGGUAAUACGUAGGGAGCGAGCGUUAUCCGGAAUUAUUGGGCGUAAAGGGUGCGUAGAUGGUUGAUAUAAGUCUUUUGUAAAAAUGCUAGGCUCAACCUAGUAGGGCAAAAGAUACUGAUGAACUAGAGUACGGCAGAGGCAAGUGGAACUACAUGUGUAGCGGUAAAAUGCGUAAAUAUAUGUAAGAACACCGGUGGCGAAGGCGGCUUGCUGGGCCUGUACUGACAUUGAGGCACGAAAGCGUGGGGAGCAAACA